rnacentral:rRNA from 1 species
CCUACGGGAGGCAGCAGUGGGGAAUCUUGCACAAUGGGGGAAACCCUGAUGCAGCGACGCCGCGUGGAGGAUGAAGGAUCUAGGUCUGUAAACUCCUUUUUCAUGGAAAGACUUAGGACGGUACCAUGAGAAUAAGCCCCGGCUAACUACGUGCCAGCAGCCGCGGUAAGACGUAGGGGGCGAGCGUUGUCCGGAUUUACUGGGCGUAAAGAGCGCGUAGGCGGCUUGUUAAGUGUGAAGUGAAAUCUCCAGAGCUCAACUCGGAAACGGCUUUACAUACUGGCAAGCUAGAGGAAUGCAGAGGUAAGUGGAAUUCCUGGUGUAGCGGUGAAAUGCGUAGAUAUCAGGAGGAACACCCAUGGCGAAGGCAGCUUACUGGGCAUUAUCUGACGCUGAGGCGCGAAAGCGUGGGUAGCAAACAGGAUUAGAUACCCCGGUAGUC